CCCAGCAGGCACUCGACGUUGUUUCAACGUUGAAACAACGUUGAAAUAUUGUCGUGACGUUGUUCAACCAAUAUUCAACUAUGGACGACCAUACGGAUAUAUUGCCAAUGUAUAUACAACGUUGAUUCAACGUUGUUUAUGGUCGAAGUUUUACAUUUAGUUUAAUCAUUAUAUAAACUUUUAUACCACUAAUGUUGUGAUAUUAUUCCUUUAUUGAAUUAGUCUGUAAGUGAUUUUUGUCAGGAAAAUUUGCGUUACAAUCUUUUUCCGUAUAUUCAAAAAAUAUUAAACAAAUAAAGUUGGAAAUAAUUUUUCACUUUCUAUAAACGCUUUAAAUAUUAGUUAAUAUGUUUUGUUGUUUGUUGUUUUAUUUUUUAGUUCUUUAUGAAUAAUAUUAAUUAAUAAAUUUAUAUUAGUCAAAACCCCGUUUAUAAGAUAACGCUGGUCAGGGGAAGUAAUUGUUGCGGUCUUUGAUUUUGUUUGUUGUCUAUGAUUAUCGUUCGUGCAAAUGGUGGCGCUGUUUGGAAAAUUUGAAAACAACACGAUUGGCAAUUUAUUUGGAUUUCGAAGAUCCUGGUCCUGGCUGAAAUUUAGAGCUGUAGCCUGUAUACCAUACAUUCAAAAUGAAAGGGACUGUCAGGAUGCUGCAUAAAAUGGUCUUAGCUAGAGCUUAGAAUGUUAAUUUCUUGGGAAUGCUGCAAGGAACUGACGGGGAGCAGUUUUACAAAUCAUAGAAGCAGUAAGGGACAGCCAAAGAAGUACUCGAACACUUGACAUACCCAGAAAGAUCUAGAAGAAAAGAUUGGAACAGAUUGUAGCUUAAUUGUUAAAACUAUUAAAGUGAAUUUUAGCUGCACUUAAACUGUAUUUUUGAAAUAAAAUAUCUGAAGUAUUUAA